rnacentral:rRNA from 1 species
GACGAACGCUGGCGGCGUGCUUAACACAUGUAAGUCGAACGGUAAGGCCCUUCGGGGUACACGAGUGGCGAACGGGUGAGUAACACGUGGGUGAUCUGCCCUGCACUUCGGGAUAGGCCUGGGAAACUGGGUCUAAUACCGGAUAGGACCACUGCCUGCAUGGGUGGUGGUGGAAAGCUUUUGCGGUGUGGGAUGGGCCCGCGGCCUAUCAGCUUGUUGGUGGGGUGAUGGCCUACCAAGGCGACGACGGGUAGCCGGCCUGAGAGGGUGACCGGCCACACUGGGACAGAGAUACGGCCCAGACUCCUACGGGAGGCAGCAGUGGGAAUAUUGCACAAUGGGCGCAAGCCUGAUGCAGCGACGCCGCGUGAGGGAUGACGGCCUUCGGGUUGUAAACCUCUUUCAGCACCGACGAAGCGCAAGUGACGGUAGGUGCAGAAGAAGGACCGGCCAACUACGUGCCAGCCGCCGCCGUAA